AUGCCUUCUCCAUACUAUUUCAUUUGGACAAUUGCUCAUAAUAGGCGCUCAAUGCGCUCUGCUAUUAUGGAGAAGCUUCAAUGUGCAGGAAACUAUGCCCAGUCAUCAUUGAAUCAAAAGUGACCGAUGAGUAAACCUCGUUGUCUGGCAUGCACCGCCCCAUCCCGCCAAAUCUGCUUCCCACCCUGUUCAACAACAGCCUUCUUAGGUUGAGGUGAGACCCGCCUGGCCCAUCCCAGCACAAUGGAAAGGCCUGGGCCCAUAUUUCGUUAGCCAUUGCCUGUGCCGCCACCAGCUGGCCUAGCGGCGGUGGGACGGGAUGCGGAAGCACCUAUGCCCUGGAUGAACCAAUGCAAACAAUGACAAGGAAUAACCUGACCGGCCGUGAUGAUGGGGAGAUAGUAACCAUGAUAUCGGGUGACAAAGUUCUAAGUCUGGCAAACAUAUUUGGGGGGUUAUUCCCUUUCAAACUUUCUGUAGCUCUUUAGCAUGGUGGUAUCCAGCAAACCUGCCUUCAUGCAUUGAGGAAAAAGGCGGAGAAACAAGAAGCCAAUGCGAGGUUUUCAACGAGGAUUAUUUCUGUUCACAGCGUUCUUGGAAUAUGUGGCGCAAGUUGAGCUUUGUGGAUGCAGGUCUAGAUGAAGAGGCCUCUGCUAUUAUCUUGGAAUGAGAGAAUAUCUGCUCAAGAGGAACGCAUGGAUGGAGUAAUGGUAAGGGUACUGGAGGCUGAUGCACACCAUCUAUCGUUUGCAGUUGCAGUGUGCCGUUUUCAGGAGCAACGCUCUGGUACCUUAGCUUAAUGGUAGUUUGAGUUUCGUAAGUUCUGUACAAC
rnacentral:sRNA from 1 species